rnacentral:rRNA from 1 species
UCCAGAGGGUGCAAGCGUUGCUCGGAAUUAUUGGGCGUAAAGGGUAGGUAGGUGGUCUCAUUUGUCGGGGGUGAAAGCCUUGGGCUUAACCCAAGAAGUGCCUUCGAAACGGUGAGACUGGAGUCCUGGAGAGGGUCGUGGAAUUCCCGGUGUAGCGGUGAAAUGCGUAGAUAUCAGGAGGAACACCUGUGGCGAAAGCGGCUCACUGGACCAUAACUGACGCUGAUGCACGAAAGCUAGGGGAGCAAACAGG